AGAUGCCUGCAGCCUUUUGAGGUGGGUUGAUGUUACUCUGUCUGGGCAGAUGCUUGAAGCCUUCUGAUGAGGUGUGGUGUUACUCUGUUUGGGUGAAUGCUUGAAGCUUUCCAAAAUGGUGUGAUGGCCCUCUGUGUGUUGUGGCUGUCUCAACUGUGAUAGUUUAGUUCAUCUCUAAGGCAGCUGUGGAGUCAGUGUCCCACUAUGAGGUAUGUGAGCUUCUAGACCUCUCUGAGCAGGAGGAAGAGAUUGCAAAGUGCACAGAGACAGCAAAGACACUCAUGUCAUGGCUUAAGCCAGCUUGUUGAUAGAGGAGUUUUACAGCUGUCAUUAGUGAAAUGGAGAAGAGGCUGCUGACACAAGCUCACACCACUGACAGCCAUAGAUCAGGAAAAAAAAUCUCAGCACAUGGCAGCAUUUCACUGCUGAGCUGUUGGCCUGGAACUCUGUUAAUAUUUAUCCAAUGUGCUGAUCUUUAACAUUUGGAUUGCUGCUGGUAGCAGGGAUUCCAACCAGCCUGAGGCCUUCACAAGAGAACCUGUUGGCUUUCAGUUCUUUAACACCAUCCACCACUCCUAAUUCAAUCCUAGCCAAAAAAAUUUUCUCAGUUUGCUUCCUGGCCUGAUGUGCUGCUUAGAUCUCCCUCACUGCCAGAAGCCUUCCCCUCUUCUGCUAUUCAUCACAGCAAUUUCACAUGCUCUCUUCAGCUGUUCUCUCCACGGGCUGGUGAAGCUGUCCUGGAGAAAGACUGGCAGGAAUUGUGCAGGGUCCUUGCAGAGCUGGGAGCAGAUGAUCCCUUUGCUGCUGGAGAACAGAACUCCCUUCAGCUGCUCCUCACUGUGGGUGAGGAACUGCAAACCUCUGUGGGAUGCACCAGGCACUGAAGAGGAGCAGUGGGGGGAGAUUGGUGCUCUAGCAAGCAAGGACCUCAUCUUAACCACAUAAUAGGGGAAAAAUAAUUUCCAGACUAAAGAACUAAACUUUGCACAGCACUUACUGAACCUGAGUAAGAUUUAAAACCUGAGUGGAGUGGCAGGCAGAUCUGAGCCCACCUUCAGAGAGAGUGGCGGCAAAUGAGGGGGAACCCAAGAAGUAAUGGGCAGAUAAACACUCAGUUCCUUCUGUCAGUAAAUUUACAACAUACUCAAGGAAGACAUCAAAAAAAAAACUCCUCAGACAAAUUCUGAGUAAGUUGUCAAAGAAAGAAAAAGAAAAAGGAUGAAAACUCUUAUUUAAACAAAAAAAAAAAUCAACAUUUGUUAAAUAAAACAAAACAUGGUGCUGAGCUUGCAGCUGAAUUCAAAGACAAUUCUACAGGUACCUGGAAGAAGUGUUGGGAGAGAGAAAACUUUUAUUUCCCACACACGUCUGGUGCUUACAUAUCAGAACUGGAUAUUUACUGAGGUGAGAUUACCUCAUGCUGGACUCUGUUUAAUUCCUGUCCUGUCCUUUGCAGAAUUCAGUUCUGGUUGUACAAAAUACUCCAAAAUGUGUAAAACAGUGACAUGAAGAGAAAGACAAUUAAAUCUGCUGGUGCAGGUAGGCUCGUGAAGGUGCCUCUAU